GGCUACUGUCAUGUGUGAUGUCGUUGUACUAUAUCUUCUUAAAAAGAGGAAAUACUACAAAGAAGCAAAAUUUCAGAACGUAGCAAGUAAUGAGAACGGGGCGCAGAAAACAUAUGAGCUUGUUCCUUGCAAGCGGACGGGGGACGUUAAAGGUCCCACACCGACCUCACGAUUGGCUAGCAGGUAGCUUGGUUCUCACGCACACCGCAUCGGAAUGGCAUUCGAAUCUCUCAACGUAAUGAGGUAGCUGCAUUGUGUGAGCAAGCCCUUGUGACAACCCUCCCCAUCUCACAGCUUAACAACAACCACCAAGACCCGCCUUCGGGAUUAGGAGGGGGUAGCAACCACUCCCUUCGCGAUGAAAUAAUCCUCCCUACCACCAACGAAACCAACAAACCCACCAGUUUGUGAUGACACGCCCACGCAUCAAAGCCUUCGAACUAUUUUCUAUCAAACUAAAGCAACAAAGUGACCAAAAAUGACAUAAAACAUUCGAGAGAAAACUAGAGAAAACCAAAGGACUUUUGCCUGACAUGUAUGUAUAUUUAUUGUUCCAUUCGUCUUCAGAGAGCGUUUUAUCACAUGGUUCUUUUACUUGUGAAGAAAAGCGAGAUUAUCUCGCUGAUCUUACUGAUCGUUCGUCGAAUCAUGAUCCUUAAUGAAUUUCGCCUAACGAGGAGCAUAAUUAUUAUUGUAAGUGUUUCUUAACCAUUAUGUCGUAUUUGAACUACCAUUGGAGAAAUUUGAGAUGACAAUCACGUAUGUGGCUGGAUCCGCACGUCAAAUUGUCCCCAGAGCGUGAAAAUCAAAGUAGUGAUCUUUGUGUAUUUGUCUGCUGCCGCAUCACCGAAGCCUUCAUUUUGAACCAGAAUCUGAUUAAGAGAAUCCUGCUAUUUUUUGUAGCCUGUAAAUACUUGAAGUUGCAUAUUGAUUCAAGCUCAUUCCAAUUCGAAAAACGUUCUCCUUAGCGACGACACAAACGGGGAACGAAGAGAGGGGUAAUGUUUGUUAGUGUGAAAUGGACACGUGUUUCACGUGGAGAGAGAGAGGGAGAAUGGACAAAAUUCGCAUUGUGAUUGGUUCGCUGUUACCAUCACGUGCUGAAGUGUCGUCUUUUCUACUCAUCACGUGAGACCUAUGAAAACUAUCAGGUGAUUUUGUCUUGACCUUUAUACGAUCUGAUCAAGAUGGAGGAAUAUUGUAUUUGAUUACACACGAUACGAUUUUCUUCGGGAAAAUGUACAUGUAUAUAUAUACAUCAAUAUCAUAUCGCAAUAAGCACUUAAGUAUAUGUUGCUAAUAACUUAUUAUGUUAGAAAAAAAUAGUUAUAGUAUCAUCGAUUGAUAAAAUAAUUUUUAAAAAGGGGGUUCUAGAACUUGAACCUCAGCAUUUCCUUGACGUUUCCACUUAGAUGUUAAAUAAUAGAUUAGCAUUCAAGAAAUUCCUCUCCUUUUGGAGGUUAUAUGAUGUUCACGAAUGUCAAAAGUUGAUAGCUGAUAAGGUCAAUGUCCCAUUUACUUAUAUAUUUUGAUUCUACAAGUACACCCUCUAGCUUAUGAUUUGAUGAACUUUACAAAUAAAAAGGGAGAUUGCACAUUAUAUUCCACGUUUCAAUGUGUAAAUAUGAGGAUGAAAGUAAAUGUUACAAUAGUCUUUCUUGUAUAUUUGAACCAAGAAACAAUUUACAUGUAUAUUCAUCGUGUCAAUUAAUUCACGUGUAAAGCGAACAUUAUAAUAUUACGUUGAAGAAAAUAGAUUUAUGUACUUGUUUAUGAUGUUUUGAAGGUGUACCAAUACUUGUCAUCAGACAUAGAGUCGGCUGCUAUUUUUCAAAUCGAUGUGAGUGUGUGUUAUGAUGAUAGACAUUGUUUUUAAAGACAGACAUAAUGUUAUUUCUUUAUCCAUGACGAGCAUUAUUCACCGCUUAUUAAUCUAGUACUGGAGAUUUCGUUGUUCCUGCCAUUUAAAAUGUCAAAGAUCAGUAUUGUAAUGAAUUUCGAUUGUUUAAUCACCUAUGUAAUAUACACGUCUAAUGUGUCGUAGAUUUACUUAAAUCUCUAGAUAUGGUAUUAUAAAAGAGGUUAGAAAGCAUUUGAAAUUUCGAGGUAUUUUGAACAAUUAGCUGCACACGUUUUUAAAGACACAAACAAACUGACGGAGACACAUGGAUCCUUUAUUUCAAGGUAUUUUAUCAGACACACUAAAAGCAAAUCUAUUAAUUACCAAAUCUAGAUCAUAUGUAGAAUUGUACUGAUGUAGGAUAGUCCAAGGACUGUUUUGAUUAAAAAAAAAAAAGCACGUGAUCAAAUCGACCAUGGAGGCGUAAUUUUCCCAAAUUACGGAAAAGAACAAUGAUAGUGGUUAUCAAUUUUCGAACAAUACAUGCAGGUAACUCGAAAAAAAAUCUUUCAUGCACCAACUCCAGUUUCUCAUUGUGCCAAAUGAAUAACUGCGAGGCGUGCAUUUUUAGACCACAUUUCUAAGUCCAAGUGACCAUGUUCUGUUCAAAGGAAACUCAUUUGACCAAAUCACUUGAUCCUUGAUCUUGUCCAGUGGCAUGUAUUCUUUAAUGUAACUAGAUUUUAUUAAUCUUUUUGACACAAGAAAUUACAUAUGCAAUGCAAUUGAUAUUAUUGCUUCCCUAAUAUCUAAGAACAUUAUAAAUCAUAGAGUGUCAUCGAAUAAAAAUACUUUCUAGUUUAGAAUAGCCUUAAGAAAUUUGUUUCACCGCAAAAUGCUUCCUUUGAAUUAAAAACGUUUUGUUUCUUACUCUUCUUAAACAAGGCUUAGUCAAUAUUGGGUUUAAGGGGACAUACGUGUUUACUGGGUAAAUGAUACAGUGUAUUCGGUGAUAUUAAACUAAGUAAACAUAUCACCCAUAUAUUUUUUUAUCAUUGAAUCAAUUCUACCAAACAAAAAGCAUGUUGCAUUUUAUUCUAUAGUCAGUUAUUUUUCACUCAACCGUUUUAAGAGGCAAGGUUUUUAUCGUCAAGGUAAAACAAAUACAUCGAUUUAUAAUUCAUGCUAAUUAAUCAUCACGUUCACAAUGUACAGAAAACAAAAUUGCGAUUUCACCUCAGAAAUGAAUUGUCAAUCUUUAUUCAGCCAUGUUUGAUUAAAAUCCGUGUCCUUUUUUCUUACUCAUUUUAAUCACACUUGUUCAUUACUACUUCAUUAUUUUACAAUUGAAUAAAUAUGCAAAAGAGUUCAAUAUCAGAAGCUGAGACUGUUGUCCAUUUUCAAAACAUUUCAUUACAAUUCCUCUUGCUUUUCACCUUGCUGUCAUUAUGGACAAUUUUUAUUGACUCGGUAUUAGGGUGAUGAUAAUUCUUUGGCAAUAUUUGAAAUUGAAAAUACCGGAUAAAACUAAUACAUUUCAAUUCAAACCACGACCGUUAAGAGGAAAAUCUUCUUUUAAGAUAUUGGUCUGCAAAUUGGCUAAGACUGUAAUUACCUGUAAAAGUCGGUUCUUGGUUCAUCUAUCAUGCUUUUAAAACUCUGUGAGUAUGCAAGGCAGGCCAUACUUAGGACGGUUUCUUCAUUCAUUUCCUACUGGGUCAAUGUAUUCUAAACCCCACUCCAAGCCGUGGAUAUCCAUUCGCCCUUGUCACGGCGUAUUACGGAACCAAAUAUAGUAGUAGCUAUGAAUCAAUAGACUUUUCUGAAAAAAGUCGUAUUUGAAUUUUGUUCAUUUUCACAACUCAUGAACAACUAAAAAUCUUACGUUUCAAGUUCUAAUAAUAUAUUAAAGGAAUCAUCAUUUAAAAGAACAUCAGUAAAGGAUGGCUCCCCAAUUCUUUCAUUAAAAAUGUGAUAAAUGUGUUACUUGUAAAUUACUAUAACGCGACAAUACGAUAACGGGUUAUGGAAGUAAGUUGUAAAAGUCUAAAAAAAAACAAUUGUUAGUUUUUUUCGUUUUUUUCCAUGACUGCUUAAUAGAUUGAUGUUAAUCAAAUAUCCUUAGCAUAAUCAUUAUGACGCUGAUUCUUCCAUUUCUGUUUGAAAAUGUGACCGUGUUAUUGAAUGUAUUUUUCGUAAUUGUUUUGUGCGUCUACCGCAAUUAAGUGAAGCUCGGAAGUUGAAUCUAUGUUUUAGAACACGGGAUAAAUUUGUUAUGUUUAUAUGAUGUAAUACUUCAUAGUUCAAACAUUUUUGUCAAAUUAUGCAACAGUGUGUCACUGCUCUUCUUUUUUCGAUGCAUCUGUCUGUAUUUGUUGGCCUUUAGUGUAAAUUGUUUUAAUAAAAUAUGAAUACAGCAUUGUUUACAUGCUAUAGAGCAUAUUCAAAUAUUUUGUCAAGAUUAUACAGUGUAGAUAGAUUUUUAGUAUCGAGAUGUAAAGGUACAUACUUGAAAACAAACGUCCAUUUCAACGAAGGUAUUGAAGAGGAUUGAUGGAGACAAAUUAGUAUUUUCCGCUUCUGAUCAUUUCUUGAUUUUGAAUCAAAUAAAUCAAUGUAAAAACC